UGGGGAAUAUUGCACAAUGGAGGGAACUCUGAUGCAGCGACGCCGCGUGAACGAAGAAGGCUUUCGCGUCGUAAAGUUCUUUUAUAUGGGAAGAUAAUGACGGUACCAUAAGAAAAAGCCCCGGCUAACUACGUGCCAGCAGCCGCGGUAAUACGUAGGGGGCUAGCGUUGUCCGGAAUCACUGGGCGUAAAGGGUUCGCAGGCGGAAAUGCAAGUCAGGUGUAAAAGGCAGUAGCUUAACUACUGUAAGCAUUUGAAACUGCAUAUCGUGAGAAGAGUAGAGGUAAGUGGAAUUUUUAGUGUAGCGGUGAAAUGCGUAGAUAUUAAAAAGAAUACCGGUGGCGAAGGCGACUUACUGGGCUCAUUCUGACGCUGAGGAACGAAAGCGUGGGUAGCAAACAGG
rnacentral:rRNA from 1 species